UCCUGGAGAUAGCUCAGUCAGUAGAGCAUGAGACUUUGAAUCUCAGGGUUGUGGGUUUGAGUCCCACACCGGGCA